GACGAACGCUAGCGGCGUGCUUAACACAUGCAAGUCGAACGGUGAAGCGCCUUCCUUUUUGGUGGGUGUGGAUGAGUGGCGAACGGGUGAGUAACACGUGAGUAACCUGCCCCCUUCUUCUGGAUAACCGCAUGAAAGUGUGGCUAAUACGGGAUAUUCUGGGUCUGUCGCAUGAUGGGUCUGGGAAAGAUAUUGUUUCGGUGGGGGAUGGGCUCGCGGCCUAUCAGCUUGUUGGUGGGGUGAUGGCCUACCAAGGCGGUGACGGGUAGCCGGCCUGAGAGGGUGGACGGUCACACUGGGACUGAGACACGGCCCAGACUCCUACGGGAGGCAGCAGUGGGGAAUAUUGCACAAUGGGCGCAAGCCUGAUGCAGCGACGCCGCGUGAGGGAUGGAGGCCUUCGGGUUGCGAACCUCUUUCGCCAGUGAAGCAGGCCUGCCUCGUUUGUGGGUGGGUUGACGGUAGCUGGAUAAGAAGCGCCGGCUAACUACGUG
rnacentral:rRNA from 1 species